rfam:Ipomoea nil DNA, scaffold: scaffold1574, cultivar: Tokyo-kokei standard.
GCCCCAGUGGUCUAGUGAUAGAAUGAUACCCUGCUAUGGUACAAACACGGGUUUGAUUCUCGGCUGGUGCA